CGGCCGCGGUAUUUUGACCGUGCUAAGGUAGCGUAAUCAUUUGUCUUUUAAAUGAAGACCUGUAUGAACGGCUCCACGAAGGCUUAACUGUCUCCUUUUUCAAGUCAAUGAAAUUGAUCUCCCCGUGCAAAAGCGGGGAUACACCCAUAAGACGAGAAGACCCUAUGGAGCUUUAGAUGUUACAACAAGCAUUAUGUGCUAUUCCCGAACAAAGGGGAUAACCACUAGCCCCUGCCCAAACAUCUUCGGUUGGGGUGACCAUGGGAAACAAGAAACUCCCACGUCUCUGUAUUGGAAUCUCCUUAUUUAAACCCAAACAAACUUCUUCAAACGAGAGCCACCACUCUAAUUCAACAGAAUUUCUGACCACCGAUCCGGCAACGCCGAUUAACGAACCAAGUU
rnacentral:rRNA from 1 species